rnacentral:rRNA from 1 species
GAUAGCGGCCAUAGGGAGAUGGAAAUACCCAGUCCCAUUUCGAACCUGGAAGUCAAGCAUCUCAACGGCGUUCCGAGUACUGUUCUGACGAACGGGAAAAGUUGCUGCUGCUAUCA